UAGGGAAUCUUCCGCAAUGGGCGAAAGCCUGACGGAGCAACGCCGCGUGAGUGAUGAAGGUCUUCGGAUCGUAAAACUCUGUUAUUAGGGAAGAACAAAUGUGUAAGUAACUAUGCACGUCUUGACGGUACCUAAUCAGAAAGCCACGGCUAACUACGUGCCAGCAGCCGCGGUAAUACGUAGGUGGCAAGCGUUAUCCGGAAUUAUUGGGCGUAAAGCGCGCGUAGGCGGUUUUUUAAGUCUGAUGUGAAAGCCCACGGCUCAACCGUGGAGGGUCAUUGGAAACUGGAAAACUUGAGUGCAGAAGAGGAAAGUGGAAUUCCAUGUGUAGCGGUGAAAUGCGCAGAGAUAUGGAGGAACACCAGUGGCGAAGGCGACUUUCUGGUCUGUAGCUGACGCUGAUGUGCGAAAGCGUGGGGAUCAAACAGG
rnacentral:rRNA from 1 species